rnacentral:lncRNA from 1 species
GAGUUUUGUGCCGACUUCUCUCAUGCGUAUCUUGGCCAUCCGAACUUCAUUUGAGGUGAUCUUGAUCUUAUUGGACUCCAUUUUUCAUCACGGACCUCACUGUAGGCUCAAUGUAGAUCAAAUCUCAAGGUAUCAAAUCCUAACAAUCUCCAUCUCAACUUGAUAUUUGGCCUCCUCCUAACUCUGAGAGCUUUUGGAUCUCCUCGCCCCC